rnacentral:rRNA from 1 species
CCUACGGGAGGCAGCAGUAGGGAAUCUUCCACAAUGGGCGAAAGCCUGAUGGAGCAACGCCGCGUGGGUGAAGAAGGUCUUCGGAUCGUAAAACCCUGUUGUUAGAGAAGAAAGUGCGUGAGAGUAACUGUUCACGUUUCGACGGUAUCUAACCAGAAAGCCACGGCUAACUACGUGCCAGCAGCCGCGGUAAUACGUAGGGGGCAAGCGUUAUCCGGAUUUAUUGGGCGUAAAGGGAACGCAGGCGGUCUUUUAAGUCUGAUGUGAAAGCCUUCGGCUUAACCGGAGUAGUGCAUUGGAAACGGGGAGACUUGAGGGCAGAAGAGGAGAGUGGAACUCCAUGUGUAGCGGUGAAAUGCGUAGAUAUAUGGAAGAACACCAGUGGCGAAAGCGGCUCUCUGGGCUGUAACUGACGCUGAGGUUCGAAAGCGUGGGUAGCAAACAGGAUUAGAUACCCGAGUAGUC